rnacentral:tRNA from 1 species
AGGAUAAUAGUUAACCAUAACAUUUAAUUUGCACUUAAAAAGUAUUGAUAUUCCCGUCAAUUUAUCUUA